CAAAGGGCAGGACUGAUGGAAUGAAUGAAUGGGCUGCUAAAGCAGCUGUGCAAACUGUCCCCUCCCGUUACCUUCACAGGUUGGAGCAAAAACAUUCGUCAUGCAACUGCCUGCCUCAUUGACCAACCACUGCGUGGCUCUACCCUGUAUGUUCAUUGCAAAGGGGAAUCCACUGAGCGGCUGUGUGUGCUUAGAGUGCAACAGCUGCACCCUCAAGCCUGCCUCCCCAGGUGAGCCAUGCCUGGGAGUGCAGGGUGGGAUCUGCAACUGCCACGUGAAGUAAUAACCCUAAAACCGGAGAGCUGUCGUCUUUCUAUGUCCCCUCUAGGAGACUCUCGCCCAGAGAACUGUGACCUGAGGAAUAAGUUGAGCAGAGCUGCGACAUCGCUGCUCUCCAUCCUAACCCUGUACCCUGACGGCAAUUGGGACACUGACGGAACUGCAGAGAACGCAUCGAAUCCAACAUCCACAAGAUAAAGAGCCUACUUGAAGUAUGAACGUCCAAAGAAUCAGCCUGGGACAACCCCUGGCGGUGACUGUCAUCAUGGCUGUUGACUAUGGGGAAAAUGCAUUAUGCUCCUAAUCUUCUGGGCUGAUAAGUUUUGUGUGCAUACAUAUUAUAAUUUGAUAUAUAUACACACACACACGUAUAUAUAUGUACACACACACAUAUCUAUAUGUAUAUUCGUUAUGAUUUAGUUGCUUGUACACCUUAUCUGUUUAGUUGGGCUAAUACCUGAAAGGCAUAUCUGAACCUUGUCCAUACUCUGGUGGCACCGAUACCACAUCUCUGUCAGUCAAGGGGUGGAGUGUGAUGAGGACACCUGUGGAAGAUCUGGAGAGGAGUCAGUGGCUGGCAGAGCAUGCGGUAGCAGGCCCUGCACGUGAAACUACACACUGACCAAAUUCCCAUGAGGGCCAGGCAGGCAUAUUCCAUUUUGUCAACAAUGCCUAGCUGCUUCCUGGACAGUAGCUACUCAAGGUUAGCACAGCUGAGAUAAGGAAACAGUUCUAGUAGAUUUAAGGGCCCCUUAGGAACAAUGAGU
rnacentral:lncRNA from 1 species